AGACAAUUUUAUAAAAUAGCCUGGACUCACAGAAUAACACGGUUUUUCUCCUUUCCGUUCUCUGUCAGUCUCCCUGAUCACCUCCAGGAGACACAGCUUGGUGCUGGGGUGUCUCCACUGCCUCUCCCACGCUUGCUCAGCUCUUCCUUUUCCACAGAGAGAAGCAUAAAGUCGUGAAUAUUCUGGAAACACAAAUUGGAACACGAAGAAAAGUAAGAAAAAUUUGUGCAUCACCCUAUUGGGAAAUGAUACUUUGUGACGUGAGAAUCUGUUGCGUUCAUGCCGUUUGAGAAGAAGCGUUUGGGAAAGAUUCACCCUGAGUUAUCUGUUGCCAAUCUUCCUCUCUUUAUUUUCUCCCCAAAGCCCCAGGAUAUAGUUGUAUGUCCUAGUGCUAAGUCCUAGUUCUUCUAUGUGAGCCACCACCACAGCAUGGCAACUGACAGACAGUUGCUGUGGUUCCACGACCAGGAAGUGAACCCGGGCCGCCGAAGUGGUGAGUGCCGAGCUUUAACCGCUAGGACAUCAGGGCUGGCUCACUCAUUUCUUUUUAGAAAUAAUCGAAUAAUAUUCCAUUGUCUGGAUGCACCACAGUGUAUUCAUUCAGCUACUGAAGGACGUCUUGGUUGCUUCUAGAUUUUGGCAAUUAUGAAUAAAGC
rnacentral:lncRNA from 1 species